GAUGAACGCUGGCGGCGUGCCUAAUACAUGCAAGUAGGACGCUGAAGCUUGGUGCUUGCACCGAGCGGAUGAGUUGCGAACGGGUGAGUAACGCGUAGGUAACCUGCCUCUUAGCGGGGGAUAACUAUUGGAAACGAUAGCUAAUACCGCAUAAAAGUCGACAUUGCAUGAUGUUGACUUGAAAGGUGCAAUUGCAUCACUAAGAGAUGGACCUGCGUUGUAUUAGCUAGUUGGUGAGGUAACGGCUCACCAAGGCAACGAUACAUAGCCGACCUGAGAGGGUGAUCGGCCACACUGGGACUGAGACACGGCCCAGACUCCUACGGGAGGCAGCAGUAGGGAAUCUUCGGCAAUGGGGGCAACCCUGACCGAGCAACGCCGCGUGAGUGAAGAAGGUUUUCGGAUCGUAAAGCUCUGUUGUAAGAGAAGAACGAGUGUGAGAGUGGAAAGUUCACACUGUGACGGUAACUUACCAGAAAGGGACGGCUAACUACGUGCCAGCAGCCGCGGUAAUACGUAGGUCCCGAGCGUUAUCCGGAUUUAUUGGGCGUAAAGCGAGCGCAGGCGGUUAGAUAAGUCUGAAGUUAAAGGCUGUGGCUUAACCAUAGUACGCUUUGGAAACUGUUCAACUUGAGUGCAGAAGGGGAGAGUGGAAUUCCAUGUGUAGCGGUGAAAUGCGUAGAUAUAUGGAGGAACACCGGUGGCGAAAGCGGCUCUCUGGUCUGUAACUGACGCUGAGGCUCGAAAGCGUGGGGAGCAAACAGG
rnacentral:rRNA from 1 species